GGGUUGAUUCAGGCAAUCUGGUUGACUGGUCAGUGUCUCCUUCCUCCCUCGCCAAUCCCAUUUGCGGCCUUCCCAAACCUGCACGCUUGGUGGAAUAUCAUCCCCAAUAGAAGCGUAUUGAUUUUGGUCAAGGUUAUAUAAUAGCUGUUCUCCCCUGAUAGAUCUUCCCAAAAAAAGCUCCAGAACUUUCUUCCCUGGAUAUUGGACGCACCUGCUAACAUACAGAAAAGAUGCUGAGACUCG
rnacentral:sRNA from 1 species